AAAAGAAAACUUUUGUAGGUCCGUCAGCGUGAUUGAAUCGUAUUUUUGUUUGUGCUUUUUUGACUUUCUUUGCUCUCUAGCGCACGAAUAAACGUACAAAUUCCCAUAAUUUCCAAUGAAAAUGCUCCAUUCGUGAUUCACGCACGCCGACCGACUUUUGUCUUUUGUGAAAAUUCCGUAAAAAUUUGUGAAAAUUGUGUGUGAAGUGUCUGAUGCUUUUUUGAGGUUAGGGUCUUCCUUUGGAGAAGUUUUUUUUUCUCGGGCAUUUUUGGAAUGGGAAUGAGGAUGUCCUGCUGAGGCCGCCGGUGUUGGACACACAAUUGCCCGUACUGAUGUUUGGCCACAUGUUGAGAUGAAGUCCUUCACCAGCAGCGAGGCGUCUGCCUCAAAGUCCAGUGGGAGUCACAAAAAAUCCUCUUCUGUGUCCUCGAAGAGUAAAUCCAAGAAAUCCAGUCAGAGUCCUGCCAAUUCAUCCACUUCCGCCGAUCCGGCACCAUCGACAUCCGAUAGGAGUCGUUACAAGAAUUAUGCAGGAAUCAGUUCGAGAUCCGUUAAAUGCUACUGGGAGCAGCAUGAGAAGAAUGAGACGGAUGUUUCCGGAGAGGCAUGCUCCAGGGUUGCUGAGGAUGUCACCUACAAACUCUGGGAAUUGGGAAAUACUCUUAAAACAUACGCUCGGCAUGCAGAUGGGCGUGUGACGGUGGAUUUGGUCAAUGAGGCUCUCAAGGAUGCAAGUGUUUGUCCUGUCCUUGGGGCAGGAUCUUCCGAGUGGGACACCAUUGAAUACGAUGGCGUUUAUCACUUUAACAAAGACAGGAUAGUAGAUUUACGGGAGGAGUACUUAAAGGAAGUUCAGGUGACGACGAGUCGCGUGGAUAUUUGCAGCUCAUGGCUCGCCGAGGAGUCCAUGUCGGAUCAUUUGCUGGACUUUGUGGACCAUUUAUGCGAUGCGAUCUUUCUCGGAGACGAAGAGACCUUCAGUCAAGCUCUGCGGACUGUGGCUACGAAUCCCUACGUGGGAUGUAUUGUUAGUCUGUUGUUGAAUAAAUGCACGGAAUUGCUGAGCUUUGAGUACAAGCCAGACACCCUAAGGCGCGCCAUGGACCUCCUUGUAACACUCACGCGGAAUCCCUUUGCGAGGGAUGCCGAAAUUAACUCAGAGAUGCACUACUUGUGCCAAAUAAUGGUAUGUCUUCUCCUGGGGCCUCAGGCAACAUUUUCCCCCGACGCCACAACGGGAGAUUUCCAAGCAAAUCCCGCCGAUCUCACCUUCCACGAGUACCAUGGGGACAAUGGGCAUGUGAAUGUGGCAACAAUUGAAAAUCAUCCCCAUGCCGCUGUGGUGGAUGAGAAUUUGCUCAAUACAAUCACGGGCAUUAAGCAGGAGUCCUCCAUGUACAAUGGCAUUGAUAUUACGGACAUUAAGAAUGAAUGUGAAACAUUCUUCAUUAUGAUGGAGAAUAAUGGGUUGGAAAUGAAGCAGGAGCACGACGGAGAUCAGCAGCAGAGCAAUAUUGUUAGGAUUAAGUCAGAGCUCAUGGAUACGUAUGAGCAAUUUAAUGGCAGCACCGAUCCCAUGGACUAUCAGUGUGAAUCGCAGAACCAGAUGUGUUUCAAACAGGAAGACCCAUCGCUUAGCUCCUCCUGCCCAGCUGUUGAUCCCGUUCCAGGACCAAGCUACUCAGUCACCGAUGAAGCAGGGAAGUGUGGGAAUGUUCAAGCGGGGGAUUUGCUAUGGCGCGAAGAGGAAUGUGGCGUGAUAACGACGCAAAUGUGUGAUUUAGAGUGCGUGGAUAAGGUGUGUGAAUGCCUAGGGCGACUUGGGAGUUUCUGGGGCCUCGCAGAGCGACGAUGUUGCAAUUUAAUACGGUCAAGACUGAAGGAAUUCUUCACGCGUGACUGCAUUCAGCUGCACUGGGAAUUUGAGUGGCUCAUCCGGGUGUUUAGGGCAAUGUGGGCACUCGGGGAGAAUCCCUUUCGGGAAUUUUCAGCUUAUCUCGAGCGUGUGGAUUCAAUCUCAACCCCAAACUGGGUUCUUCAGGAAUUUAGCGUUGCUGCUGUAUAUAUCUGUGGACAUGGUGAUAGUUACUUGUACGAAUUACUUUACACACUCAGCGGGGAUUCCGUUCUUCCCUUUAUGAUUUACAACACAAAGAAACUCCAUAAAAUUGCCAUAAAAUCAGCGACUGAAUCACAUAUUAAGUACAAGAUAGCGUCUAAAGUGCUCCUAAAGACGUGCCCACGGUUGACAGUGGGUGCCACUGCGAGGGACGCACACGGUGGGGGUGUCGAUGAGUACUUUGAGAGGUACGACAGUGUGGCACAGCGGAGGGUUCCACCGAGAAUUGGCUUUCGUUUUGCCGGCUGUCGUCCGGUACCGCUACCGCGGAAGGCAUCACAUGCAGCUGUUGCAUCCAUUCCAAUUCCACCCGUUCAGGUGCACCAAAAUGCCGAUUUACUCGGCAGGUACAAUAGACGAAUUGUCGUGGCUCGGCGGAAGUUGUUCACGUCACUAACAAAUAGGCGUUUGGUGAGACAUGUGGAUGAUCUUCGGUGCAUGAACCUCUGAGAAGUGUGAGGAACAUCAUUCGGUUUUGCAAUGAAUACCCCUUUCAAACUCAAAGUGCUAAAUAAGUAUGAAACGUUGUUGAAACAUCAGUGCAAGGAUUUCAUAUUUAAUUGUGAUGUCAUUGCUUGGAAAUUUGGACUUCAUGCCGGAUCUUUUCAGCUGAUUCCAGAAGAGAAGAGAAUUGAAAAUCCUGCAGAAAGAAGAAAAUCUUCAAUAAAAUGAUUCACCUGAAGAGAAUAGAGCAGCUGUAUUAGCAGAAUCCAUGGCGAAAUUUUGCAAAAUCUUAACUGCCUUCCUCCUAAUUCCUACACUACUCUGCUGAAUGAGUGCCGUGAGGACUGUGAGGUACUUUGCAGCCCUCCCCUCGGGGUAUCGCGUGAGGAUCUCAUAGAAGGUCAACCACUCCUCAAUAACAGCUGUGUGUGAACGCUGCAGACGCGUAAUGUGCGGAUGAAAUUGACUAAUGUGCUCCAAAAGUCCCUGACUCGUCAUCGCCAUACGUCCCUCAAUGCAGGAGCAGCAAUUUAUGAGGAAUCUCAUAAUUAUAUGAAGAUUAAUCACAUCAACGUCUUCCUGUUUCGCUUUUUUAGUUUCUUUGACUGCAUUCUUCAUCAUCAGCUCAAGGAUUGUCUCUGCAUUGGCGCUGGAAUGAGUUGCAGCACAACGACAGAAGAAUUUAGAGCAUUCACUGAGAUUCAGAAGUAGGACGAGGAAGUUGUUCUGUGUGGAGAAUUUAUCAGACAAAAAAAUUAAUUAAAAUUCUUUUCAAAUUCCGGAACAGAAUAAUAUUUUCAACAAAAAUUUCAUAAUAAAUAUAUGAAAAUUAUUUUGAAAA